GGAGGAGUGGCCGAGUGGUCUAUGGCUCCCGCCUUGAAAGCGGGCGUGCCCGAGAGGGUACCGGGGGUUCGAAUCCCUCCUCCUCCG
rnacentral:tRNA from 1 species